AUUGAACGCUGGCGGCAGGCCUAACACAUGCAAGUCGAACGAGUGGCGGACGGGUGAGUAAUGUCUGGGAAACUGCCCGAUGGAGGGGGAUAACUACUGGAAACGGUAGCUAAUACCGCAUACCAUCGGAUGUGCCCAGAUGGGAUUAGCUUGUAGGUGAGGUAACGGCUCACCUAUGCGACGAUACCUAGCUGGUCUGAGAGGAUGACCAACCACACGGGAACUGAGACACGGUCGAGACUCCGACGGGCGGCAGCAGUGGGGAAUAUUGCACAAUGGGCGCAAGCCUGAUGCAGCCACGCCGGGUGUAUGAAGAAUGCCUUCGGGGUGUAAAGUACGUUCAGCGGGGAGGCGUUACCCGCAGAAGAAGCACCGGCUAACUCCGGGUCAGCCGCCGCGGUAAUAC
rnacentral:rRNA from 1 species